UACGGGGGGGGCAAGCGUUGUUCGGAAUUACUGGGCGUAAAGGGCGCGUAGGCGGUUCGAUAAGUCAGCUGUGAAAACCAUGGGCUUAACUCAUGGCCUGCAGUUGAGACUGUCGGGCUGGAGUGUGGGAGAGGAGAGUGGAAUUCCUGGUGUAGCGGUGAAAUGCGUAGAUAUCGGGAGGAAUACCGAUGGCGAAGGCAGGUCUCUGGGCUGACACUGACGCUCAUGCACGAAAGCGUGGGGAGCAAACAGG
rnacentral:rRNA from 1 species